rnacentral:rRNA from 1 species
UACGUAGGGUGCGAGCGUUAAUCGGAAUUACUGGGCGUAAAGCGUGCGCAGGCGGUUCGUUGUGUCGGCGGUGAAAGCCCCGGGCUUAACCUGGGAAUGGCCGUUGAAACUGGCGAACUGGAGUGUGGCAGAGGGGGGUGGAACUCCGCGUGUAGCAGUGAAAUGCGUAGAGAUGCGGAGGAACACCGAUGGCGAAGGCAGCCCCCUGGGCUAACACUGACGCUCAGGCACGAAGGCGUGGGGAGCAAACAGG